rnacentral:rRNA from 1 species
AGCGAACGCUGGCGGCAGGCCUAACACAUGCAAGUCGAACGAACUCUUCGGAGUUAGUGGCGGACGGGUGAGUAACACGUGGGAACGUGCCUUUUGGUUCGGAAUAACUCAGGGAAACUUGUGCUAAUACCGAAUGUGCCCUUCGGGGGAAAGAUUUAUCGCCAUUAGAGCGGCCCGCGUCUGAUUAGCUAGUUGGUGAGGUAACAGCUCACCAAGGCGACGAUCAGUAGCUGGUCUGAGAGGAUGACCAGCCACACUGGGACUGAGACACGGCCCAGACUCCUACGGGAGGCAGCAGUGGGGAAUCUUGCGCAAUGGGCGAAAGCCUGACGCAGCCAUGCCGCGUGAAUGAUGAAGGUCCUAGGAUUGUAAAAUUCUUUCACCGGGGACGAUAAUGACGGUACCCGGAGAAGAAGCCCCGGCUAACUUCGU